rnacentral:rRNA from 1 species
CCUACGGGGUGCAGCAGUGAGGAAUAUUGGUCAAUGGUCGGGAGACUGAACCAGCCAAGCCGCGUGAGGGAUGAAGGUACAGAGUAUCGUAAACCUCUUUUGUCAGGGAACAAAGGCGGGGACGCGUCCCCGGAUGAGUGUACCUGAAGAAAAAGCAUCGGCUAACUCCGUGCCAGCAGCCGCGGUAAUACGGAGGAUGCGAGCGUUAUCCGGAUUUAUUGGGUUUAAAGGGUGCGCAGGCGGUCUGUUAAGUCAGCGGUAAAAGCCCGGGGCUCAACCCCGGCCCGCCGUUGAAACUGGCAGUCUCGAGUUGGAGAGAGGUAUGCGGAAUGCGCGGUGUAGCGGUGAAAUGCAUAGAUAUCGCGCAGAACUCCGAUUGCGAAGGCAGCAUGCCGGCUCCACACUGACGCUGAGGCACGAAAGCGUGGGUAUCGAACAGGAUUAGAUACCCUUGUAGUC